rnacentral:lncRNA from 1 species
GGAAUCAGUUAGGGCCACGAGGUUGGACAGAAGACGUCCUUGCCUUACUGCGGAGGGGUGAUGAGCACAGGGGUGGUGAGCACAUGUUCGGUACUCUGUGAUGUGUUUUUAAUAAGGUAUGAUUUUUGUGGAUUACUUGUCUUUCUUGUACAGUGCGAAUUAAAUUAAAUUAGACAAGUAGUAUUAUUUGGUUCAAAUGUUUAAACCUUUUUUUUCAUAAUUUAACUAUUUGCAAAUUUUCAUUAAUUCAUAAAUUGAUCGAAAUAUUUAUUUUAUCAUUGGUAUGAUUGGACUGAAACAUAGAACUGCACUUUUAAAGUAUGGGGUUAUUAUACUCAUAUUAUAAUGUAAUAUUUCCCGUCUUUGCUCGUCUCCAUGCACUUCCUGUUGCCAAUAAGGCUGCUGACAAUCAACUGAUGUACGGUUUUAAAUCCAAGCAAUCCGUAGUCAACGUUGACUUGAAAUAAUAUUUUACCACGUCUUCUGGACAAAUGGGAAGAAGCUUGUUGAUUGCAUGCAUAGGUAGUUUGACCAUUUAACCCCCCCCCCCCCAAAAAAAAAAAAUUAUGGGAUGGGUGGAGGAUUCCCCCACAAUAUAAUUAAUCCACAAAUUGAUGGAUAUUGUGAUUAAGCAGAUGACCAAAAAAUGUACUGAAUCCAGAUUUUACCCAGAGGAUAUACAAAUCAAAUGUAGAUUGUAGUGUUGAAAAACUCGAAUUUAUAAAAAUGUUUACUGUUAAUGUUAAAAUGCAUCUAUUUACAUGAUUUAAAAGCAAUGUCUGUAUCCAAAUACAGAUUAAUGUAAUGUGUGCAUGCUAGGUUUAAACAUUCAAGUGUAAACUGCUUAAAUUAUUUUUUAAUCUUGGGCAAUGUUGAUUAUUUUCUUUUUUUUUACUUCAAUAGUUAUUAAUUCUUUCAGGAGGGGAACUUUUUAAACACAUGAUAUAUAUACUAGUCAACAAAAGAAACGACACAAGACUUUUUUUCAAAUUAAAGAUAAAGUUUUCCGUUCAUUGGACCAAUAUUGAAGGAAGUUAUACUUAAUAAUUAUGGAAAUAUAAAUCCGUUUAAAAAAAAAAUUUUUUUUAGCUUUUGUGACGUAUUUUUUCGAUUUUUAUUGUUUUUACAAAAUUUACAUAAAACAACAAUUUUAAAAACAGAUGUUCCAACUAAUGAUGCCAACCUCUCAUUUAAAGGUAAAGACCGUGUUUGCCAUCAAUUUGUUUUUAAAAAUCAUACAGUUUCUUCGUUUUUUAGUUAAGCAAAGUUCGGCCCCACGAGAAAUCGUUAAAAGGUAUACAUUAUCAACUGAUUUACCAUAGACAGUAUGUGUAAAGUGAUAUUCAAAAAGCGGUAACAAUCUUAAAACUAAUCCGAAAGGUUACAAAUUGAUUGUGUAUUGUUUUCAUAUCUAAAGCAUCAAUUUGAGACGAAAAUAAAAAAAAAAAAUUUGCAAUUUUUGAGAUUUAAAAAAACACUUUUUUUCCCAAAAAUUAAAAAAAACAAUAUUUCAACCCAUUAGUUACAACAUGAACAUAACUUGAUUAGCAUAUUGAAUAUUUUUAAACAAAUUUGAAAUUUUAUUUAGUACUUAGAAAAUUAUGUGUCGAUUUUUUAUUCAACUUUCCGCAAACUAAUUUACACCCUAUGAUCGUUUACACGGAAUUUAGAUACUUUCUGAAAAGUUUUGAUUUUCAUUAUCACAUGUGCAUACAUUGCAAAUGAAAGCUUUUUAAAAUAGUGUAUAUCAUUUUGUUUUAUAUGUAACACUUUUUGAUAAAUUUUAUUUCAAAGUCGUGUAUCGUUUCUUUUGUUGACUAGUAUACAUUCAAAAGAAUAUCAGUCUAUUAAAUAAUGCUGCUUUCUAUCAAAUAAAAUAGAUCUGCAUUGCAAAUGGAAUUUAAAGUAAAAGGGUUUUUGCUAGAACAAUGUGUGGUCGUGGAAGGGAUCUGUAAAUAAGAGAAAUUCACACCUGCUGUCAUGAUUUUAGUAGUGUCACAAUGAUGAUUACAUGUAUUGGGUAUUCUGACUUUGUUGAUGAACAAAUACAGUAUUAGCUCUAACUGAAUGGACACGAAAUAGUUUCAUGACAUCAGAGAAGUAUGGAGACUCGAGCAACAAAGUCAAAAGCAUUGAAUUAAUAUCUGAAGUCGGAAAUUUAAUCGCAUUACAUGUAUGUUAAUCUCAUUCUGUGUUCUCCAGAUAUUUCAUUUAGCAUCCUGGUAAACGGAAACAUUUUAAAUACCAUCUAUUAAUUAUUCUACAAGAAAUAUACAUGUAGCAUUACAUUACCAUGAUGCUAAAAGGACCUGAGGAGAAAACUGUUAAUCAUUGACACUAGACUUGAAUGUUAAUUAUCAUGAAAUAUGUAUUAAAGGCUUGUUUUAAUUCCUGCCUUCAAUUGGAAAAAUUGUUGAAUAUGUCUGAAUGCAUAGCAUAUGCAUGUACUUUUAAAAUUAGAAAUGAGCAGUAUUUUUUUCUAAAUCAAUUUUAUAAUUGGAAGUUGACGAUUCCCUAAUCCAUUUGCAAACAUGUCACUAAUGAUGUUUUCAAUAGAUCCUUCUUAUAUAUCAGUGAGUGGGGCUUACUCACCUCAUCUUAGCUCACUGUUGUAUCUGAUGCCAUAUGUUAGUCUGAAGUGACAUUCUUCAAAUUCAUGUUUAUCUCUUCUUUUUUUUUAAGUCAUAUAUAUUUGUGAUGGUUUCCAAUAUUUGUAUUUACGAAAUAUGUGAUUCAGGCCAAAGAACUACAUGUAGCACUCAAAAGUCCAGACUGAUUCCUUAGUAGAAACCACCAAAAAAAUGUGUUGAAUAAAAUGAUUUGCCUAUUUAUUCAAAUUUAGCUAGUUGCAGGUCUCCAGGGCAUGUAUUCUUUCAAUAAAAAUUAACUUCCCCAUAUACCUGAUUACAUACAUAUUUAAUAACAUCUUAAUAAAUGGCUUUAAAAGAUAGUACAUUUUGAAUACAAAUGUAUAAGUUAUGCACUGCACAGUAUUGACAUUGGGAUGAAACUAUCGAGCAUUGGGCUAUGAAAUUUGAUUUAAUGAUUCCACUGCUUGUUCUGAAUGUUUGAUCAAUAUUCAAGGUUAUUUCCCCCAACAGUGAUUUUCCAACCCUCAUUUUGGGGCCGAAUUUCGGCCCCAUUCCCAAAGAGAAAUAUGCUCUUUUUUUCCCAAUUUUCAGCUCUAAAAUUCCCAAUCGUAUAUGGACAUCGUCGCGAGAUUUUGUUAUUGUCGUAUCUCCGUAUAGUGUAUUAUUUUGUUGACAUAUCUCUGAGCGUUCGGGGUAUUUCGGGAGUUAUCAUUAUGGUUCACUUAAGACGAUGAUUGGUUUGCAAUCUUUUUUGGAUUGCAUUGCAAUCUACGAUAUUCUGGUCACGUUUGCGGAGGACGGUAGUAAAUGCCGGAAGCUGGAAGCUUUUGGAUUCAAAAAGUCGUUUCUACUUCCUUCUGAUGAAACAAGUGAAAGAAGGAAAAGACCGACUCUCAGAUACAGAACUGGAACAACUAGUUGACAUGUUUAAAAAUAAACAUGAAGGAAAACUUGGAAUUUUAAAUAAAAAUAAAAAAUAAAUGCUUAGGAUUUCAAAUGUGUCUUUUUAGAAUUUCUAUAGAUUCUCAUCAUUAUAAAUAGAAUCAGAAGGGAUAGGUUGAAUUUUACCUUUCAAGAGUAAAGUUACAAAGCUUGAGUGCAUGCAAAUGUGUCCUCAGACACAUUCAACUUUUAUUUUUAAUCCUUUUCCUUAAAAAGAUAGCUUAUUUUGUAGGCAAUUCAUGCAGUUAAUCCUUCUCAGAAUGCAGGAUUUUGCACCUAAUUUUCAAAAUUUUCUUGGGGGGGGGGGGGCAUGCCCCAAACCCCCCUAGCGAGGCGCACACGGCUUAAGACCAAUCAUAUUUUUCCCAAACCAUAAUUUUUGUCGAGCCUGCAACUUUUGUUGCAGAAAGCUCGACAUAGGGAUAGUGAUCCGGCGGCGGCGUUAGCUCACUUCUUAAAAGCUUUAUAUUUUAGAAGGUGGAAGACCUGGAUGCUUCAUACUUUGUAUAUAGAUGCUUCAUGUUACGAAGUUUCCGUCAGUCACAUGUCCAAUGUCCUUGACCUCAUUUUCAUGGUUCAGUGACCACUUGAAAAAAAAGUUCAAAUUUUUUGUAAUGUUGAAUACUCUCUUAUUAUAAGUAAUAGGAUAACUAUAUUUGAUAUGUGCGUACCUUGCAAGGUCCUCGUGUCUGUCAGACAGUUUUCACUUGACCUCGACCUCAUUUCAUGGAUCAGUGAACAAGGUUAAGUUUUGGUGGUCAAGUCCAUAUCUCAGAUACUAUAAGCAAUAGGGCUAGUAUAUUCGGUGUAUGGAAGGACUGUAAGGUGUACAUGUCCAACUGGCAGGUGUCAUCUGACCUUGACCUCAUUUUCAUGGUUCAGUGGUUAUAGUUAAAUUUUUGUGUUUUGGUCUGUUUUUCUUAUACCAUAUGCAAUAGGUCUACUAUAUUUGUUCUAUGGAAUGAUUGUUAAGUGUACAUGUCUAGCGGGCAGAUGUCAUGUGACCUUGACCUCAUUUUCAUGGUUCAUUGGUCAAAGUUAAGUUUUUGAGUUUUGGUCUUUUUAUCUAAUGCUAUAUGCCAUAUGGAAAUAUUUCAUGAUCUUUAUGUCAGUUGAGCAGGUUUUAUUUAACCGUGACCUCAUUUUCACGGUUCAUUGCACAGUGUUAAGUUUUUGUGUUUUGGUCUAUUUUUCUUAAAGUCAACUAUAUAUGUUGUAUAGAAGCAUUGUUAGCUGUACCUGUCUGCCUGGCAUGGUUCAUCUGACCUGGACCUCAUUUUCAAGGUUCAUUGGUCUUUGUUUAGUUAUCUUGGUUAAUGUUAAGUUUAUGUGACAGUUGUAAUAAAGUUUAGCUUUACACUUAGGACAAUCAACAUAAUAUCAAUGAUUAGUAUAGAAGGCGAGACAUUUCAGCGUGUGCACUCUUGUUUUCCCAAUUGCAUGGGCCCCAGGACCCUUCCCCUAAACACCAGGAAAAUCACUGCCCAAGCUUAACAUUUUGAACAUAAACUAUGUACAUGUACAUGUACUCUGUUUCAUCAACUUUCAGGACAUAUUUAUAAGGACAAUUACUUUGAUUCAAACAAUGGGGAGUAAAUUUAAUGGUCACAGCAAGGGUAGCAAUAUUCCCAGAGUAGCUGCUGUCAGGUAAUCUAUCAGUGAAAGGAUUAAACAAAGUAAAAAAAUUUGAAGAGAUUUUGUUGAUAUUUUUUGGGUGAACAGUUUUGAUGACAUUGGGAUGAAACUUUCGAGCAUUGGGCUAUGAAAUUGAUGAUUCCACUGCUUGUUCUGAAUGUCAUAUUAAACUAUAUACCCUAUUUUGACCAUUUGUUUUCUACAAUGCAUCUACAAUACUACAUUGUACAUCAAUAUCUUUUUCUUUUUUGCAGAAAAAUCAAUCGUACAAGAAGAUGCUAUGCCAGUUAAAACAGAAAUGGAUUCACUGAAUAUGGUAUGUACUAAAUUCUACAAAGUACUCUUUUGCAUCCCAUGGGAAUAUAUGCAACAGAAGAUUUUGCUAUCUUUUCUCGACUCCUGCUGGAAUGAUGAUUUCAAAUUCAGAUAGGGACAUAUGAUCAUAAAUGAUUACAAUCUGAAUUCUGACAGCAGAAUGAAUUUCAUGGCAAAGUCUGCACUACUCUGAUAAAUUACACUCUGAUUUUAUUUAAAACUGAAAUACAUGUAGAAAAAAAAAGUUCUCUUUGUUUCAAUUUGUAAGGGGUCAUUUCAGUUAACAGGUCACUGACUAUGUAGGCUUGUUCAUAAAUGUAUUAAACAAUAUUGAAGGUAGGAAUGAUGUUUUGACUAGUAACUCUUAACAUCUGAGAUGUCAUUGACCAAAAAUUGUCCAGAUUUAACUGCAAUAGAAAUCUUUUAAUUGAUUAUUCAAGCGAAAGGAUUUGAUUUGAACAAUAAAUUACUGGUCAUUCACAUGCUUGUACCAGGUAUUAAACAGUUGGGUCUUAAAUCUCGUUUCAUUGUAUGGCUGGAGUUGAUUGCACAAAAAAAUGGAAUUGUUAAUAAAUUGCUAUCAAUGUUAGUCUUGGAGUAUUGUAUUUUUGUGAAAUCACCUCCUGGGCUCUAAAAGAAGCUAAUCCAAAAAUUUAAUACACAUAUAUAAAUUGCAGAACAUAGAAACUGUUGACAAUUUAAAUAAAGUUGGUGCCUAGAUCUGCAACGGUAAUGUUUGCCGAUUAAACUUGACUUUAUCUCGAUUCAUUGUUGAUGAUGAAUGCAGAGGCUGAUUUCUAUGAUCGAUAGCAAAUGCCCCCGUCUGAGACAAUGCAGUAUAAAAAGUUUUAAAGAUGUUAAUUUCUCAGGUAAAGUGUCAACAAGGAUGCGGCAAUGCAUUGCAUGGGAUAGACUGUUUCAACCUGCCUCUUGAAACCCAAGAAUCUUCCAAAUGUUAGGGUACCACUUGUGUGUUCUCAACCAUCGUCUUGAAUAUGCAUGAAAUAUUUGCCACUAGACCUUUAAAGACUAAUCCAUAAUUUUGUGAAAACAAGAUAGGAUAAAUAACCCGAGAUUUAAUAGUGUUUGUGACAUGUGCUGUAAAUGAUGAUUUCAUAGUUCAACUGAUUUUCAGUGAAAGACAAAUUUUCGCCCCUAACUGAUACAGCACUGAAAUGCAAUUUGUCACAUUCAGAAAUACUAUUUUGUCGGCUUCUAUACAGAGGAAAUUGAUUUAGGAAGUUGGGACGGGUAACAAAUUGUAUUCUUGUCAAUAUUGUCCUGAAUAUGCAUGAAAUUACUGCCAUUGGAAAUUUUAAUGGUCAAAGAAGUACAAAUAUACUUUUCUGCAGGUGUGUAUUCAGACUUAUGUAAAACCACAGAAUUCUCAAUCCACUUAAAAUAAAGUAAUGCACAGGAUCCCUAUUUGGCAUCUGUCCUCAAUUUUUUUUUAAAUUUCCCUCUGAAUUUUAUUUUGCCAACACAUUGUUCCUAUUUCAAUAUCAAGCUACAUUUUAAAUAUGGAACUUUUGGUGCUCAUGUAAAGUAAGGUCUUUUGGUAAACCAAAAUCAUUUUUUGAAGUCGAUAUCAUGUAUAGUGAAACUUUCGUCUAUAAUCCAGUCUUGAAAAGGACUAGUGAAAAUAGCUGUUAGUGAUGAAUGCAGGAGCUGAUGUUCUGUGAUCGAUAGCAAAUGCCCCCGUCUGAGACAGCUAUUAAUUCAUUUGUCCAUUGAUGGAUCAUCAAAAACCUAUAUAAAAAAAUAAUUCCAAGAACACCUGUUGGCAUGCAUGUGCAUUCAUCAGACCUAAGGAUAAAACUUUGCAAAUAUUGUACAUGAGUCGUCUAUUUUUGCUCACACAUGGCUUUUAAUGUUUAGGAAGGUUGAACAUGAGGGGAUUUUCCAUUUUCUUUCAAAAAUUUAUUAAAAGUGAAUUCCAUCUGGAAACUACAUGUAUACUGUGCUGUAAAUGAUGAUUUCAUAGUUCAACUGAUUUUCAGUGAAAGACAAAUUUUCGCCCCUAACUGAUACAGCAAAGUUUUUUUUUAAUUAUCAGACAUUCUUAAACUUUAAGCUUCCUUAUGUUAAUUUGAUUCAAUGUCUGUUUUGUUGGAAUUUGACAAAAUAUUUAACAGCUCUGGCAAGUCUUGCUUUUACUUACUGUGGAUUCAUUUAUUUUUCGUGGGUAUCAAUUUUUCGUUGAUUGCUGAAGACUCAUAUUCGUGGAUAUUUGGUUUCGUGGUUUUGCCAAUCUCUGUAUAGAAAGCCUAUUGAAAAUAUGUUAUUUGUUGAACAUUUGAAUUUGUGGUUCACCUGUGUCCACGAAAGCCAAGAAAAUUGGUAUCCAACGAAUAAUAAUGAAUCUACAGUAGUUUUAGGCUGUGAAUGAUCGAAAUAGUUUGUAAAAAUUCUUUGGAUGUCUGUGACAAAUGCUCUUGAUCAGCAAAGAAGCUUUAUUUUAGCAACAGUGAACCCCAUACAAUUAUAAGAAUUAUUUUAAAAUUUUAUCUUUCAUGUUUUUAAUGUGGUCUGUAAAUGUGGGGAUGAGAAACUUGGGGAAAGUAACUAAAUUUGUUGUAAAGAAAUGUAAUGAUUUGUGUGCAUUUAAUGAAACAGUCUUCACGCCGAGUGGCAGCCCAGGCUGGUAAAAUUGCUCUCAGGCCUGUAAAAUUCAGACCUACAGGCCAACAGAAUCUAACUAAAAAUUUUCAAAAAUUGAGCUGGGGGCCUGUAGAUUUAGCAGUUCAGCGUGAAGACUGAUGAAAUGUGUCUUGUUUGACUUUUUUUUUUUACAGAAUUAGUAAAAUGAUGAAAUCAUGCGUGUCAUUUGACCCUGAGGAAAUUCUCAGUGACUUGCUGAUCACAACGUUCUGUUGUGGUCAGAUAAGGAUCUGGGUCAAUCGCUAAAGGGAGAUGAUUCUGACUUGAUCUGAUUACUACUCAUAAUUAUUGUGUACAGGUCUGACAGAUCUUUUUUUUUUCAUUAUUCAGUUGUGGCCCUUUUCAGGUUCUAAUAUUAUUAUAUGUGAAUAUUUAAUGAACUGCUAUGUCGUGUGUGGCAACCAGAAAGUAAAUACAUAUUAAAACAUGUUUCGUGAUGUUGGGAGUGAAUUCAUGCGGAAAAAAAUAAAUAUAAAGGAGGCUUAUAUAAACAGUACAGAAAUUAAAAAAAUUGUUACAAUACAAUAAGAAUUGGAUUGGGAUAUAUGAUGAUUAACUUAAAGUGAAAUGGGAAUCUCUCUUAAUUAUCCAUGUAGAUUCACUUUUCUGAUAUCCUGUUCCGACUCCUCAGCUUGCUAUUUUGUAUGAAUUGAGAAUUCAUGGUAAAAUGUCGUUCAUGAAUGAGCUAAAAUUACAAAAGGAACUUAAAAUAAGAUCGAAAUGAUUUAUUUAAAUAAUUGUUUGCAUAUUUUAGAAAGAAGAUUUGACAUGCAUUAAUUGACAACAGAAAAUAAGGAAGAGCC